AUGGGGAUAUUGGCCAUCUCGAUCGGCUCUGGUAGGGAGGCGACCAGAGCCCUCUCCGACAGCAAUGGAAGCGCAGGCGAGCUUGUCGAGGUGUGGGCGGAGGUGGAGGUGGCCGGAAGCAACGAACAACAAUUCCGGCCCAACUGGAGGAGGAGGCCGGGCAGCUGGGCCUCGCGCAGUGGUCAACAGGAGAAGGAGGACUCGGCGCUUGUCGUCAUCCUCGCGUGCUCGCAUGAAGAAGCAGGGAAACGGCGCGAUGCAGAGGACGGCGAGGGAACUUGGGGCUCCGGGAAGACGACGGUGGGACGUCAGAAGCAGCAGAAGAGGUCGGGGAUGAGUAAUCCAUGGCGGAGGCGGCGAGAUCCGGCGGAUCUGGGCGGCGACGAGGCCAGUCUCUGGCGAAGCAGAGGCGUGGGGACAAGGAGGGCAUCGGCUUCAGCCGAAGCAGGGCGCGACGAUGGCUAUGACUGCUCGCCAAAGGAAGGGCGCGGGACUUGGCGCUAG
rnacentral:rRNA from 1 species